rnacentral:rRNA from 1 species
AUACUGAGGGUGCGAGCGUUAAUCGGAAUUACUGGGCGUAAAGCGCGCGUAGGCGGUAAGUUAAGUUGGAUGUGAAAUCCCUGGGCUCAACCCAGGAACUGCAUUCAAAACUGGCUCACUAGAGUAUGGUAGAGGCAAGUGGAAUUCCAGGUGUAGCGGUGAAAUGCGUAGAUAUCUGGAGGAACAUCAGUGGCGAAGGCGACUUGCUGGGCCAAUACUGACGCUGGGGUGCGAAAGCGUGGGUAGCAAACGGGAUUAGAAACCCUAGUAGUCC